GCAUGUGCGCGAGUCAUUGGGACUCACUAAACCUAAAGGCGAAAUGAAAGUGAAAGUCGGCCUCGCGCCGAUCGAGGGAGGAUGGGCCGCGUCUCGACGCGGCCCCGCACUCCCGGGGCGUCUUAUUCUCAUCGCGAGAGGAGGCGCACCUAGAGCGUACACGCUGGGACCCGAAAGAUGGUGAACUAUGCCUGGUCAGGACGAAGUCAGGGGAAACCCUGAUGGAGGUCCGAAGCGAUUCUGACGUGCAAAUCGAUCGUCGGAACUGGGUAUAGGGGCGAAAGACUAAUCGAACCAUCUAGUAGCUGGUUCCCUCCGAAGUUUCCCUCAGGAUAGCUGGCGCUCGCUUUUGCGAGUCUCAUCUGGUAAAGCGAAUGAUUAGAGGCAUUGGGGUCGAAACGGCCUCAACCUAUUCUCAAACUUUAAAUGGGUGAGAUCUCCGGCUUGCUUAAACGUUCGCGUUGAAGCCGCGAGAUCGGAUCAGAGUGCCAAGUGGGCCAUUUUUGGUAAGCAGAACUGGCGCUGUGGGAUGAACCAAACGCAGAGUUAAAGCUCCAAAAUCGACGCUUAUGGGAUACCAUGAAAGGCGUUGGUAACUUAAGACAGCAGGACGGUGGCCAUGGAA
rnacentral:rRNA from 1 species